rnacentral:piRNA from 1 species
CUCCUUAGGGAUUAACUACGAGG